AUGUAAUGUAAUUCCUACAAUAUUAAUGUACAUGAUAUCAUUAGAACUCUAUAGUUAAGCACACUUGGGAUAGAGUAGUACUGGGAUGGGUGACCUCUCAGGAAGUCCUAGUGUUUUACAUG
rnacentral:rRNA from 1 species